GAGGGAUAGCCCAGAGAAAUUUGGAUUAAUACCUCAUAGUAUAGCAGUUUCGCAUGAAACCACUAUUAAAGUCACAACGGUGAAAGAUGAGCAUGCGUCCCAUUAGCUAGUUGGUAAGGUAACGGCUUACCAAGGCAACGAUGGGUAGGGGUCCUGAGAGGGAGAUCCCCCACACUGGUACUGAGACACGGACCAGACUCCUACGGGAGGCAGCAGUGAGGAAUAUUGGACAAUGGGCGCAAGCCUGAUCCAGCCAUGCCGCGUGCAGGAUGACGGUCCUAUGGAUUGUAAACUGCUUUUGUACAGGAAGAAACACCUCUACGUGUAGAGACUUGACGGUACUGUAAGAAUAAGGAUCGGCUAACUCCGUGCCAGCAGCCGCGGUAAUACGGAGGAUCCAAGCGUUAUCCGGAAUCAUUGGGUUUAAAGGGUCCGUAGGCGUUUUAGUAAGUCAGUGGUGAAAUCCCAUCUCUCAACGGUUGAACGGCCAUUGUAACUGUUUGACUUGAUUUAUUAGGAAGUAACUAGAAUAUGUAGUGUAGCGGUGAAAUGCUUAGAGAUUACAUGGAAUACCAAUUGUGAAGGCAGGUUACUACUAAUUGAUUUACGCUGAUGGACG
rnacentral:rRNA from 1 species